CGCGUCCGCCCCGCGAGCACAGACCCUCGCCUUUGCCGCUCCACCGCCCGUCCACACCCGCCGCCAGCUCACCAUGGAUGAUGAUAUCGCCGCGCUCGUCGUCGACAACGGCUCCGGCAUGUGCAAGGCCGGCUUCGCGGGCGACGAUGCCCCCCGGGCCGUCUUCCCCUCCAUCGUGGGGCGCCCCAGGCACCAGGUAGGGGAGUUGGCUGGGUGGGGCGGCCCCGGGAGCGGGAGGCAAGGGCGCUUUCUCGCACAGGAGCCUCCCGGUUUCCGGGGUGGGGGCCGCGCCCGUGCUCAGGGCGCCUUGUCCUUUCCUUCCCAGGGCGUGAUGGUGGGCAUGGGUCAGAAGGAUUCCUAUGUGGGCGACGAAGCCCAGAGCAAGAGAGGCAUCCUCACCCUGAAGUACCCCAUCGAGCACGGCAUCGUCACCAACUGGGAUGACAUGGAGAAGAUCUGGCACCACACCUUCUACAAUGAGCUGCGUGUGGCUCCCGAGGAGCACCCCGUGCUGCUGACCGAGGCCCCCCUGAACCCCAAGGCCAACCGCGAGAAGAUGACCCAGAUCAUGUUUGAAACCUUCAACACCCCAGCCAUGUACGUGGCUAUCCAGGCUGUGCUGUCCCUGUACGCCUCUGGCCGUACCACUGGCAUCGUGAUGGACUCCGGUGACGGGGUCACCCACACUGUGCCCAUCUACGAGGGGUAUGCCCUCCCCCAUGCCAUCCUGCGUCUGGACCUGGCUGGCCGGGACCUGACUGACUACCUCAUGAAGAUCCUCACCGAGCGCGGCUACAGCUUCACCACCACGGCCG
rnacentral:sRNA from 1 species